CCAAACUUGGUCAUUUAGAGGAAGUAAAAGUCGUAACAAGGUUUCCGUAGGUGAACCUGCGGAAGGAUCAUUUCUGAGAAUGCGUGGCGGCAGGUGCUGCCCUGUGUGGGCACACCCGCCUGCUUCCCUCUGACCAGAACCUGUGAGACGCCCCAGUUGCCUUGGCAGGCAACACUGGAGGAGGUGCAUGCACAGUGUGUGUGCCCUGCUCCAACCUGCCAGAGGACAGACCCUUGACACUGUGAGAGUGACCUUGAUAUCUUUGUCUGAACAAGCGUGUUGUGAAUGGAACAGUAAUAGUACAAAACCUUUGACAAUGGAUCUCUUGGCUCUGGCAUCGAUGAAGAACGCAGC
rnacentral:misc_RNA from 1 species